CGGACCGCAUGGUCCGAGGAUGAAAGGCGCUUCGGCGUCGCCUGGGGAUGGCUUUGCGGUGCAUUAGCUAGUUGGUGGGGUAAUGGCCCACCAAGGCGACGAUGCAUAGCCGACCUGAGAGGGUGAUCGGCCACACUGGGACUGAGACACGGCCCAGACUCCUACGGGAGGCAGCAGUAGGGAAUCUUCCACAAUGGACGAAAGUCUGAUGGAGCAACGCCGCGUGAACGAUGAAGGCCUUCGGGUCGUAAAGUUCUGUUGUAAGGGAAGAACAAGUGCCGCAGGCAAUGGCGGCACCUUGACGGUACCUUGCGAGAAAGCCACGGCUAACUACGUGCCAGCAGCCGCGGUAAUACGUAGGUGGCAAGCGUUGUCCGGAAUUAUUGGGCGUAAAGCGCGCGCAGGCGGCCUCUUAAGUCUGAUGUGAAAGCCCCCGGCUCAACCGGGGAGGGCCAUUGGAAACUGGGAGGCUUGAGUAUAGGAGAGAAGAGUGGAAUUCCACGUGUAGCGGUGAAAUGCGUAGAGAUGUGGAGGAACACCAGUGGCGAAGGCGACUCUUU
rnacentral:rRNA from 1 species